rnacentral:tRNA from 1 species
GUCAUGUGCCUAGUGGUCAUGGCAUCUGCCCGGUAAGCGGAAGGUCGUGGGUUCGAUUCCCAUCCCUUGACA